CUGGCCAAGGAGGAGCACCUCUCUGCACAGAAGUAAAAUUGCUUUGCUGAAAAUCCUUUGUUUGAGUGUUCAAUUUCCUUAGGAUUUUGAGCAUUAUUUCUAACAAUUCUGGCACCCAACGUGGGGCAAAUGUUCUCCUUUGGGAGGUGGUCUUCUGUCACCCCACCCAUCGGGGAUGCGUCCCACUGUCUAGUUACAGUGGCCCAAUGGGAUCAGGGCCCCCAUUGUGAUGAAUAAAUCUGGGUUCUCAGCAAAGUGGGGAGGAGAGGCUUGCAAGACCAUGGCAAUAAGAGGACAAGAUAACUCUUCUGCAUGAACCAAGGAAAUAUUGGAGGCUUUUGAAGAAGAGGCUAAAGGAACAGGACACCCCAGGCUGUGUAUCACAGCAGCUAUAUCUGCUGGCAAGGAGACCAUUGAUGCAGGAUAUGAAAUUUCAGAGAUCAAGAAGAGAAAACUGCCCUGUGGCUGGAGGCGAGAUAUGCUGGCGGAAAUGCUGCUCUGUUACUGUUUGCUACACUGAGAUGUUUGGGUGGAGAGAAGCAUAAAUCUGGCCUGCGUGCACGUCCAGGCAUAGUACCUUCCUUGAACUUAUUUGUGACACAGAUUCCUUUGCUCACAUGUUUUCUUGCUGACCUUCUCCCUACUAUCACCCUGUUCUCCUGCCACAGUCCCCUUGCUAAGAUAGUGAAAAUAAUAAUUAAUAAAUACUGAGGGAACUCAGAGACCGGUGCUGG